rnacentral:rRNA from 1 species
AACGAACGCUGGCGGCAGGCCUAACACAUGCAAGUCGAGCGAGACCUUCGGGUCUAGCGGCGGACGGGUGAGUAACGCGUGGGAACGUGCCCUUUUCUACGGAAUAGCCUCGGGAAACUGAGCGUAAUACCGUAUACGCCCUUUGGGGGAAAGAUUUAUCGGAGAAGGAUCGGCCCGCGUUGGAUUAGGUAGUUGGUGGGGUAAUGGCCUACCAAGCCUACGAUCCAUAGCUGGUUUGAGAGGAUGAUCAGCCACACUGGGACUGAGACACGGCCCAGACUCCUACGGGAGGCAGCAGUGGGGAACCUUAGACAAUGGGGGCAACCCUGAUCGAGCCAUGCCGCGUGUGUGAUGAAGGCCUUAGGGUUGUAAAGCUCUUUCAGCUGGGAAGAUAAUGACGGUACCAGCAGAAGAAGCCCCGGCUAACUCCGUG